CCAAAACCUGGGAUUUGAAAUGAUAAUCCAAUCCCAUGCAAUAGGCUCGUCAGGUGGUAUUGUGCUCAUGUGAAAGGAAGAUAUGGUAACUGUGGAAGAGAUGGUCACCAACCCACAGGGAAUUCAUGCUAUGGUGAAGGUAAACCCCCAUAACUCUCCCUGGAUUUUUUUUGCUAUAUAUGCAAGUAUCCAUAUUGCUAAUAGGAAAUUAUUGUGGGAACAACUGCAAAACAUAGCUGGCACUUCCAGUGACAACUGAUUCAUUGGAGGGACUUCAAUGAAGUUGUGAAAGCCAGAGAUAAGUUUGGGGGCAACCCUAUAAACUUAAAUUGUAGUAACCUAUUUUGGAAUUGUAUCAAUAGUUGUAAUAUUAUUGACAUUGGGUACAAGGGUAGCAAAUACACUUGGUUCAGUAAAUGAUACACAACCCGUAGUACCUUAAUACUGGAAAGGAUUGAUAGGUGCUUUGCAAAUGAGGGGUGGAUCAAGCAACAUCCUGAGGCUAGUGUACUAUACCUACCAAGGACCCACUCAGACCAUUGCCCCUUGAAAAUCCAAUUGGAUAGGCCCCAAAUGCACAUCCACUCUAGGCCCUUCAGGUUUGAAACCAUGUGUGCUACCUACCCUGGCUUCCCAAAAAUCAUUAAUAAGGCCUUCCAAGGAAGGCCCGACCUACUCCACUCCAUUAACAACUUUAAAAAACUGGCAACCAUUUGGAAUAAGGAGAUCUUUGGAAAUAUAUUCCACCAAAAAAGGCUCCUUGUAAUUGAGGGCAUCCAAAGAUCCACCAGCUACCAAUUUAGUACCUAUCUCCAAACCCUGGAAACCAACCUAAACAAUACGUUGAACCGCAUUCUCAAGAAUGAGGAGGACUUCUGGAAGCUGAAGUCCAGAAUCAUCUGCUUCAAGAAGGUGAUGCCACACUAAGUUCUUUCACACUUUCACCUUAAACUGAAGAAAAAACAGAAUCCUUUCUCUAAAAGAGGAGAAUGGUAACUGGAUCACUAAUCCCAAGGAGAUUAGCUCAACAUUUACUGACUUCUUCUCCAAUCUCUACACCACAUCAAUUACCCAAGUCCCAUGGAAAACCACAAAGCACUCCUCCAUGAGCCCCAUCCUUCUCCAAAUCCAUAAGACAUUCAUAGAUAGACCUCCUCAAUUGGAGGAAAUCAAAAGAGUUGUCUUCACCAAUAAUCCCUCCAAGGCCCCAGGCCCAGAUGGCCUACACCCUUUCUUCUUCCAAAAGUACUGGCAUUUGGUAAGGGAGUCUGUCACCCAAUUCUAUCUGAACUUCUUCAACACAUCCACAAUGGACAGCACAAUGAAUCAAACAUUGGUUUGCGUAAUCCCAAAAGUUCCCCAAACAUCAAUGCUUAAAAACUUCAGAUCAAUUGGUCUUUGCAAUACCAUUUACAAGACUGUUACAAAAAUCAUUGUUAGCAGAAUCAAGCCCAUUCUUAAUCACAUCAUAGGGCCCAACCAAGCAAGCUUCCUAAGUAAUAUAAGGGCAUGUGACAAUGUUGUUAUAGUCUAGGAAUACAUAAACCACUUUAGGAAAAUGAAGGGUGGAAUGGGGAACAUGAUCCUGAAAAUAGACCUGGAAAAGGCCACUGACUGAAAUUGUCCUUCAUUAGAGACACACUUCAGGCUUUUAAUUUCCCAGAGAAGCUAACUAAACUCAUUAUGUCUUGUGUUAGUUCUUCCUCUAUAUCCAUCCUGCUUAAUGGAGGUAAAACUGAGCCAUUAAAACCAUCAAGAGGCAUCAGACAAGAGGAUCCAAUGUCUCCCUACUUGUUCAUCCUAUGUAUGGAAAGGCUUUCCAGAUCCAUUGACCAAGCAGUCCACCAAAACCAAUGGGAUCCCAUCAGUAUAAGCAGGUCAGGCCCAAAAUUUUCUCAUCUUUUCUUUGCCAAUGACCUUACUCUCUUUGCUAAGGCCAAUAUAAAAAAUUGCUCCUCUAUUCUGGCAAUCCUCGAAGAAUUUAACUCCAGUUAGGGCAUAAAGUCAACUUUUCCAAAUAAAGGGUUAUAUUCUCCUCCAACACAAAUCAAUCCUCCUCCCACCUCAUAUCCUCCACCCUAUCCAUUAGGCAAUCCAACACUUUUAGGAAAUAUCUGGGUUUCCCUAUAUACCAUAAGAGGAAAACAACAGCAGACUUCCAAUUCAUCUUGGACAACAUGAACUCCAAGCUGGCUCGCUGGAAGUCCAAAUGCCUCAACAUGGCAGGGAGAACUAUCCUGACUAAGUCAACAUUUAGUAGAAUUUCCUAGUCAUGCAAUGCAAUACAUCACCCUACCUACCAAGGUCACAAAGCAUAUUGACAAGCUUCAAAGGAACUUCAUGAAAGUUCAAGAGGGUGGGGGGGGGGAGAAAGACUAUACAAACCAUGGAAANNNNNNNNNNNNNNNNNNNNNNNNNNNNNNNNNNNNNNNNNNNNNNNNNNNNNNNNNNNNNNNNNNNNNNNNNNNNNNNNNNNNNNNNNNNNNNNNNNNNNGGGGGGGGGGGGGGGGUGAAUUGUUAAUUGUUUAAAAUUAUUAGCAAAUAAGGCGACUUGAAACUAUAUUAGCUGACUUAAUGUAAUACUGCACCAGACGAGAAUAUCUAAAUAAGGAUAAGCUAAAAGUAAAUGCAGGAAUAUAAUGACACCCAGAAUUUUAUACUGAUUCGGAUUCAAUGUGAAUCCUAAUCCAGUCCCCUUGGGUUGCAAGGGAUUUCUCUUCAGAUAAAUGAUUUCUUUUCGAGAACAAUAGUGAUGAUUAUCGCACAGUCUUCUUUUACUCGUUGAUACAAUGCCUCACCAGUUGAGAACUCUCUUUCUAUUUAUGACUAUUACACAGUGAAUCUAACUAGACUACUAUGUUUGUUUGCAGUAAAACGAAGAGGGUUAUAAUGGUGUGAUCAAAGUAUGUGGUUGAUAAAAAGCCGUAUGGAAUUUAUACAGUAUGGCUAUGGUGGAGGCUUGUCAACCCAAUGGAUUUGAUCCUUGGAAAGUGUUGAUUAUUUCCAAGAAUAAUGCACAGGACGUUGCCUUGAUGAUGAUCUCUUUCUUUUUUGCUGGAGAUAUAAUUGACUGAAAUGGCGCUCCUUCCAUUCUUUCCCUUCAUUUGAGUUUGCCGUUAUGGAUAAUCUUGAGUGAUUUUCGUAUAUGCUGUUGACGCAUCCGGCUGGAUAUGAUUUCCCAAAAUCAUGGGAGAGAUCCUGAUUUGCUGAUGGGAAGUGGAUCUUUUCCUUGUGUG
rnacentral:lncRNA from 1 species